GAUGAACGCUAGCGGCAGGCCUAACACAUGCAAGUCGAGGGGUAGAAUUAGCUUGCUAAUUUGAGACCGGCGCACGGGUGCGUAACGCGUAUGCAAUCUACCUUGUACAGGGGGAUAGCCCAGAGAAAUUUGGAUUAAUACCCCAUGGUAUAAUUAAUUUGCAUGAAUUGAUUAUUAAAGUUCCAACGGUACAAGAUGAGCAUGCGUCCCAUUAGCUAGUUGGUGUGGUAACGGCAUACCAAGGCGACGAUGGGUAGGGGUCCUGAGAGGGAGAUCCCCCACACUGGUACUGAGACACGGACCAGACUCCUACGGGAGGCAGCAGUGAGGAAUAUUGGUCAAUGGUCGGAAGACUGAACCAGCCAUGCCGCGUGCAGGAAGACGCAUCUAUGGUGUGUAAACUGCUUUUGUACGGGAAGAAACACUCCCUCGUGAGGGAGCUUGACGGUACCGUAAGAAUAAGGAUCGGCUAACUCCGUGCCAGCCGCCGCGGUAAAAC
rnacentral:rRNA from 1 species